UGGGGAAUAUUGGACAAUGGGCGAAAGCCUGAUCCAGCCAUGCCGCGUGUGUGAAGAAGGUCUUAGGAUUGUAAAGCACUUUAAGUUGGGAGGAAGGGCAGUAAGCGAAUACCUUGCUGUUUUGACGUUACCGACAGAAUAAGCACCGGCUAACUCUGUGCCAGCAGCCGCGGUAAUACAGAGGGUGCAAGCGUUAAUCGGAAUUACUGGGCGUAAAGCGCGCGUAGGUGGUUCGUUAAGUUGAAUGUGAAAGCCCCGGGCUCAACCUGGGAACUGCAUCCAAAACUGGCGAGCUAGAGUAGGGCAGAGGGUGGUGGAAUUUCCUGUGUAGCGGUGAAAUGCGUAGAUAUAGGAAGGAACACCAGUGGCGAAGGCGACCACCUGGGCUCAUACUGACACUGAGGUGCGAAAGCGUGGGGAGCAAACAGG
rnacentral:rRNA from 1 species